AUGUCCUAUCCUUCCUUCUUGUUAUCCUCUGUCCUCAGUCACAUUCCUUUCUUUCUUCAUGUUCUCUUCCAUUGCCCACAAUGUCCCAUCCCUCUUUAUUCUGCUCUCAUUGCCCACCUAACUCAACCCAGCCUUCCUUCCUGCACUCCCCUGUCACCCACCCAUCCUGUUCCUCCUUCCCAUGCUCCAUCACCCACCAUAUCACAUCCCUUUUCCUUUGUACUUCUAUCAUUCAUGUCCCACCUCUCCUUCUGCCUUCUGCUGCUCCUCUGUUGUCCACCCAUCCCAUCCCAUCCCAUCCCAUCCCAUCCCAUCCCAUCCCAUCCCAUCCCAUCUCUCCUUCCUGUGCUGUCCCAACCACUGGGUCCCAUCCUUUCUUUUCUGUGCUCCUGCAUUAGCCACCAUGUCCUGUCCCUCCUUCCUGUGCUUCUGUAUCCUCCAUCCCUUCUUGUGCUCCACUGUCACCUAUCACCUCCCAUCCCUCCAUGUUCUCUUCCACCACCUUCACAUCCCAUCCCUCCUUCCAUACUCCUUCCAGAGUGUGCUGUCAUCCACUGUGUCUCAUCCCUCCCUGCCAUGCCAUUCUCCUUCAUUACCCACCAUGUCCCCUCCCGCCCUUUUGUGCUCCUGCAUCCUACGUUAGGUCCUAUCCCUCUUUAUUGUUCUCUUCCAUCACCCACCACCUCCCAUCCCUUCUUCCUGUGCUCCUCCAUUACCCUUCAUAUCUCACCUUUCUGUCACAUUUGCAUCCCAUCCCUCUCACUUGCUCCUCCUUCAUCCACCACAUCCUAUUCCUUGUUAUGCUCAUUCACCUCCCACCAUCCCCUCGUCUUCUCUUCCUUCUCUACCUCCACCCUAUCCCAUCCAUCCUCAUUCUGCUUUGCCUCCGGUUUCUCUCUUUUCAUAUUCCUCCUCAUGUCAACAUCUCACCAUCCCUUCUCAUCCUCCAUCAGCUCCCACCAUCACUCUGUCCUCUAUAUCUUACCAUCUUCUUAUCCCUGCUUAUCCUCCAUUAGCUCCCACCAUUGCCCCAAUCUGUUUCAACCGCCUCCACUUCUCCUCCCCAUCUUUCUUGAUCCUCUUCUACCUCCUCCUAUCUCCUCAUCCCCCCAUCCUCCUCCACUUUCCCCAUCCCAAUAUCCACUCUCACUUUCCACCAUUGCCCCAUCCCUCCAGCUGCCAACAUCACCCAAUCCUCCACCCCGACAUUCCCAAUCCCCACUUAGUUCUUUUUAG
rnacentral:lncRNA from 1 species